GAUGUACGCUGGCGGCGUGCCUAAUACAUGCAAGUCGAGCGAACAGAUGAGGAGCUUGCUCCUCUGACGUUAGCGGCGGACGGGUGAGUAACACGUGGAUAACCUACCUAUAAGACUGGGAUAACUUCGGGAAACCGGGGCUAAUACCGGAUAAUAUAUUGAACCGCAUGGUUCAAUAGUGAAAGACGGUUUUGCUGUCACUUAUAGAUGGAUCCGCGCCGCAUUAGCUAGUUGGUAAGGUAACGGCUUACCAAGGCAACGAUGCGUAGCCGACCUGAGAGGGUGAUCGGCCACACUGGAACUGAGACACGGUCCAGACUCCUACGGGAGGCAGCAGUAGGGAAUCUUCCGCAAUGGGCGAAAGCCUGACGGAGCAACGCCGCGUGAGUGAUGAAGGUCUUCGGAUCGUAAAACUCUGUUAUUAGGGAAGAACAAAUGUGUAAGUAACUAUGCACGUCUUGACGGUACCUAAUCAGAAAGCCACGGCUAACUACGUG
rnacentral:rRNA from 1 species